UACGAAGGGGGCUAGCGUUGCUCGGAAUCACUGGGCGUAAAGGGUGCGUAGGCGGGUCUUUUAAGCCAGGGGUGAAAUCCUGGAGCUCAACUCCAGAACUGCCUUUGAUACUGAGGAUCUUGAGUUCGGGAGAGGUGAGUGGAACUGCGAGUGUAGAGGUGAAAUUCGUAGAUAUUCGCAAGAACACCAGUGGCGAAGGCGGCUCACUGGCCCCGAUACCGACGCUGAGGUGCGAAAAGCGUGGGGGAGCAAACAGGG
rnacentral:rRNA from 1 species